GGGACAAAAACUCGAUCAUCUUUUAUUGAAAAAGAAUAUAAACUCAAUCAUGUGUUUGCUUGAUUUAAAAUACUUUCCUACAACAGUAGCUUGAGCUGGAAAGUGCAAGUUCAUAUAACCAACAUCAACAUUUCCAUCCCCUGUGGCUGCAUUGUUUAUGGCAAAUGUUGGUAUGUAUAGGCUAAACCAAAAAUAAUAAUAAUAAAAUAAAAAAUAAAUUAUAAAAAUAUUUCCUCUACUUUAGCUCGAUUUCACUUACAUCUUCUAUACUUUAAAAAUAUCAAACUAGCCUUUCUAAUUAUCGAGAUGUUUCGAUAUAAUCCAAACGUCUAUCUCUAUUAAUAAAAUUUUUUAAAAUGAUAAAAAUAUCCAUCUCCUUCCUCCUCCCUCCUCCUCCAUGGCUGAUGUCUCUCUUUUUCUCUCUUCUUUCCUUCUCUUUUUUCUCUUCCUCCCCUUCUUUUUCACCCAUUUUGUCAUCCUCUCCUUCUUCCUCUUUCUCCCUCCUCCUUUCUCCUCUCCUUUCUUCCUAUCCACUUCUCCUCCUCAUCCUUUUCCUCCAAGCCACUUAUAAACUAUCUCCCUACAUAACAGCCUCCUCCACCUUCAUCCCUUCUUAUCUUCCACAUCUUCUUUCUCCCCAUCCUCUUCUCCCAUUCUUUCUCCACCCUAUUCCUGACUG
rnacentral:lncRNA from 1 species